UACGGAGGGGGCUAGCGUUGUUCGGAAUUACUGGGCGUAAAGCGCACGUAGGCGGCGAUCUAAGUCAGAGGUGAAAGCCCGGGGCUCAACCCCGGAAUAGCCUUUGAAACUGGAAAGCUAGAAUCUUGGAGAGGUCAGUGGAAUUCCGAGUGUAGAGGUGAAAUUCGUAGAUAUUCGGAAGAACACCAGUGGCGAAGGCGACUGACUGGACAAGUAUUGACGCUGAGGUGCGAAAGCGUGGGGAGCAAACAGGAUUAGAUACCCGGGUAGU
rnacentral:rRNA from 1 species